rnacentral:rRNA from 1 species
GAAAGGCUUCGGCCGGACAGGGAUGGGCAUGCGGCGCAUUAGGCAGUAGGCGGGGUAACGGCCCACCUAACCGACGAUGCGUAGGGGUUCUGAGAGGAAGGUCCCCCACACUGGUACUGAGACACGGACCAGACUCCUACGGGAGGCAGCAGUGAGGAAUAUUGGUCAAUGGUCGGGAGACUGAACCAGCCAAGCCGCGUGAGGGAGGAAGGUACAGAGUAUCGUAAACCUCUUUUGUCAGGGAACAAAGACUGGGACGCGUCCCCGGAUGAGUGUACCUGAAGAAAAAGCAUCGGCUAACUCCGUGCCAGCAGCCGCGGUAAUACGGAGGAUGCGAGCGUUAUCCGGAUUUAUUGGGUUUAAAGGGUGCGCAGGCGGUCUGUUAAGUCAGCGGUCAAAGCCCGGGGCUCAACCCCGGCCCGCCGUUGAAACUGGCAGUCUCGAGUUGGAGAGAAGUAUGCGGAAUGCGCGGUGUAGCGGUGAAAUGCAUAGAUAUCGCGCAGAACUCCGAUUGCGAAGGCAGCAUGCCGGCUCCACACUGACGCUGAGGCACGAAAGCGUGGGUAUCGAACAGGAUUAGACACCCUGGUAGUCCACGCAGUAAACGAUGAAUGCUGGCUGUCCGGGGGGGACUGACCCCUGG